rnacentral:rRNA from 2 species
AAGCGUGAGGAUCAAACAGGAUUAGAUACCCUGGUAGUCCACCCGUAAAACGAUGAGUGCUAAAUGUUAGGGGGUUUUCGCCCCCUUAGUGGCGCAGCUAACGCAAUUAAGCACUCCGCCUGGGGAGGUCGACCGCAAGGUUGAAACUCAAAAGAAAUUGACGGGGACCCGCACCAGCGGUGGAGCAUGUGGUUUAAUUCGAAGCAACGCGAAGAACCUUACCAAAUCUUGACAUCCUUUGACCGCUCUAGAGAUAGAGUCUUCCCCUUCGGGGGACAAAGUGACAGGUGGUGCAUGGUUGUCGUCAGCUCGUGUCGUGAGAUGUUGGGUUAAGUCCCGCAACGAGCGCAACCCUUAAGCUUAGUUGCCAUCAUUAAGUUGGGCACUCUAGGUUGACUGCCGGUGACAAACCGGAGGAAGGUGGGGAUGACGUCAAAUCAUCAUGCCCCUUAUGAUUUGGGCUACACACGUGCUACAAUGGAUAAUACAAAGGGCAGCGAAUCCGCGAGGCCAAGCAAAUCCCAUAAAAUUAUUCUCAGUUCGGAUUGUAGUCUGCAACUCGACUACAUGAAGCUGGAAUCGCUAGUAAUCGUAGAUCAGCAUGCUACGGUGAAUACGUUGCCGGGUCUUGUACACCCCGCCCGUCACCCCCCGAGAGUUUGUAACACC